ACUCAAUAGAUACCCGGGUAGUCCUAGCUGUAAACGGUGCACGUUUGGUGUGGGAGGCAACCCCUUCCGUGCCGAAAGCUAAACGCGAUAAAAACGUGCCGCCUGGGUAGUACGGUCGCAAGACUAAAACUCAAAGAAAUUGACGGGGACCCGCACAAGCGGUGGAGUAUGUGGCUUAAUUCGAUGCAACGCGAAGAACCUUACCAGGGCUUGACAUGUAUUGUAACCCCGGUGAAAGCCGGGCAGCAUGGAAACAUGCGCUUUACACAGGUGCUGCAUGGCUGUCGUCAGCUCGUGUCGUGAGAUGUUGGGUUAAGUCCCGCAACGAGCGCAACCCUUAUGAUUUGUUGCCACCGGUUCAUUCCGAGCACUCAAAUCAGACUGCCCAGAUUAACUGGGAGGAAGGUGGGGAUGACGUCAAGUCCGUAUGGCCCUUACGUCCUGGGCUGCACACGUACUACAAUGUCCAGUACAAAUUGAACCGAUACCGCAAGGUGGAGGAAAUCAACAAAACUGGGCUCAAUUCAGAUUGCAGGCUGC
rnacentral:rRNA from 1 species